rnacentral:lncRNA from 1 species
AGACUCUGUGAAUGAAGACCCAUGCAGCAAAGAACUAGAGGCAUCUGAAGACCUUCCUUAGGGAGCCAAGUCCCUUAUGUUCUUGUUUUAGGAUGUAUAUAGACUCCACUUUGAUGGAAGAAAUGCUAUGUGCAAGAUGAAAUGCCAUUUCUGAAAUACAAUCAUUUUAUUCACUGGCCAGAAGACAAAGUUCCAAUUUGAAGUUUAAAGAAAAAUGCUCAAAGAACAAAGCAGGCACAUACAGGGAUAAAUUGAGCCUGAUUAUACCCUCCAAAGUGAAAGGGGAAAAAAAUUCCAAAUUCUGCACAAAGAAAGUAUGUGGUCAGAUUUGGUGGCAGUGUUGGGACCCAAAGUGAACUUCUGCUGGCUUUUGAGGACAAUGAGAAACACAGGUGUUUUACCAGUGAAUCCCUUUUUGAGUUCACUCUCUUUCUUGCUGUUUCUGAGGGCUGUGGGUAAGUUCCUCUGGGUUCUGAGUUCCAUUCUCUUUACAUCAAGCUCCCAGUCUGUCUUUCCAGCACAAGACAGGUGAACUAGAGUUGGCAGACCAUUCUGCCUGGUACCCAACUGAGCUAAGCGCCUGGCCUUUCACACUGUGAUUCCCAGGUUUUUGUGUGAAAACUAUCAGCCCUUAAUUCUGUCAGAAGAGCCACGUGGGAACUAUUCAGGUCAUUCAUGUGGAGCCCCAGUCCGAGUCUACUUGCUGAGGUCUGCUGGUUCAGUCCUCCUCCCAGUCCAAGGUUCCGUGGGCAUUGUCAGUGGUGCACACAGUCUUUUCUUGGCCAGGGCUCGGUAAUAUCUUUUGGCUACAGCUAGUAUGUGAAGGUGUAUAUGUUUUUCAUGUUCUGUGUAGAUAAAAACUACUGCUAAUGGGGAUCUCAGAGACCAAAAAGUCACAAAAACUAGUGGCUAUGGAUUGAGCACUUAAAGGUCGUUAGAGCACUUGCCAUCAAAUAUUCUUUUGUUAGGAUAAGUUGGUCACAGAAUGCAUUAGAUUGACUCUAUGUCACUCACCCACCUCAAGAAAUUUUUCUAAAUUAUAAGAGUCAAACAUGCCACUUUCUGGCAUGUCUGCUUAAAAACUAUGGUCCCAGAAGCUAUAAAUAUCAACAAAAACAGCAAAAUCUUACUAGCUUGUUUUGUGUUCUGAGAGCUUGGCUCAGGGUAACCAUCAGAUUGAGGUCCUCAAAAAUAUGAUCAAUGAUAUGGGUUAUACUCCACUUAUAGCUACUUACAGAUUCAGCAGAACCAAAUGUGGGUUGAACUCCAUUUGUAGCUGAAGGUCCUACCAAAUUGCUGCCAGUUCUCAGGGGAAUUACAGCCUAGAGUUACAAUGGCCAUCCGGAGGAACAUUCCAUUUGGAUAAGGUUACUUAUGAAGUUCACAUAAAGCAAGGGCUGCCUAUUUUUACACAUAAGCCUCCAAAGAACUUCAAAAUUUCAUUGAAAAAUUUAUUACAAAAAGCUAAUAAUGUUUAUAAAUAUGAAAGUUACCUAAAACAAAUGACUAUGGGACUGCAAUAAUUCCUACUUCUACCCUUGAAUACCCAUAUUAGAAAUCCUCUAUCUAAAAUGCCUUCCACCCUGAAGAGACAAAGUUACCUUUCAAAAUAAGAAUGGGGCUUGGCUUUCUGCCUGCCUGGAGCAUACAGGCUGUCAGCUCUUUGUUUUGUCCAUCUUUGGAAAUGACUCUGAUCUCAGGAGGCUAGUAACCUUUGCACCGUCCUUCAGGUGCACCAUCCUUCAGGUUACCUCCUGGGUCCAUGGAGUUAUUUAAUACUGCCAGACAUAUUUAUUUGUUUGCCUCUGUUGAAAAUUGGCGAGCUAGUUCAAAGAAUUUUUAAGUUAGCUCUAUGGUCAGAAAUUGGCCAUCUAUUGGAAGCUGAUUUUAAGAGCCUGGUAGGAAUAUUUUAGGCCUUCUUUCUGAAGUUAAAAUAAAACUAUGUACCACUCCGUUGUAAUCAUAAAAAUUUUCAAAAAUAUGCUAAAGACUAACCCAUUUGUGUUUCAGGUUCACAUGAUCUGGGAAAAUAUUUAGUAUUAAAACUAAUUUACAGUUACUGAUUUGAUUAAAACUGAUGUAUCUUAGUGUUGUCAACAUGGACAGUAAUGCAAACACAACUUACCUGGGUUGAUUAGUAAAAUAAGUUCAUGUUAUAUUUGUUAAAAAUUUGUCAGCCAAAAAAAAAAAAAAAAAAAAAAA